GGGUUAGUGGUCUAGUGGUAUGAUUCUCGCUUUGGGUGCGAGAGGUCCGGGGUUCGAUUCCCGCUAACUCC
rnacentral:tRNA from 1 species